rnacentral:rRNA from 1 species
UACGUAGGGAGCAAGCGUUGUCCGGAAUCAUUGGGCGUAAAGCGCGCGUAGGCGGCCCUGUAAGUCCGUUGUGAAAGUCAAAGGCUCAACCUUUGAAAGCCGAUGGAUACUGCAGGGCUAGAGUCCGGAAGAGGCGAGUGGAAUUCCCGGUGUAGCGGUGAAAUGCGCAGAUAUCGGGAGGAACACCAGUAGCGAAGGCGGCAAUCUGGGCCGGUACUGACGCUGAGGAGCGAAAGCGUGGGGAGCGAACAGG